GCGGGUGUAGUUCAAUGGUAGAACCCCAGCUUCCCAAGCUGGUGAUGUGGGUUCGAUUCCCAUCACCCGCUCCA
rnacentral:tRNA from 1 species